UACGUAGGUGGCAAGCGUUGUCCGGAAUUAUUGGGCGUAAAGCGCGCGCAGGCGGUCCUUUAAGUCUGAUGUGAAAGCCCACGGCUCAACCGUGGAGGGUCAUUGGAAACUGGGGGGACUUGAGUGCAGGAGAGAAGAGUGGAAUUCCACGUGUAGCGGUGAAAUGCGUAGAGAUGUGGAUGAACACCAGUGGCGAAGGCGACUCUUUGGCCUGUAACUGACGCUGAGGCGCGAAAGCGUGGGGAGCGAACAGG
rnacentral:rRNA from 1 species